CCUACGGGUGGCAGCAGUGGGGGAUAUUGCACAAUGGGGGAAACCCUGAUGCAGCAACGCCGCGUGUGGGAAGAAGGUUUUCGGAUUGUAAACCACUGUUCUUGGUGAAGAUAAUGACGGUAACCAAGGAGAAAGCUCCGGCUAACUACGUGCCAGCAGCCGCGGUAAUACGUAGGGAGCAAGCGUUAUCCGGAUUUAUUGGGUUUAAAGGGUGCGUAGGCGGAUCGUUAAGUCAGUGGUCAAAUUGAGGGGCUCAACCCCUUCCCGCCAUUGAAACUGGCGCUCUUGAGUGGAAGAGAAGUAUGCGGAAUGCGUGGUGUAGCGGUGAAAUGCAUAGAUAUCACGCAGAACCCCGAUUGCGAAGGCAGCAUGCCGGCUUCCGACUGACGCUGAAGCACGAAAGCGUGGGGAUCGAACAGGAUUAGAUACCCGGGUAGUC
rnacentral:rRNA from 1 species